UUUCAAGCUCAGAUAAAUGCAGCCUCACUGGAAAAGGUCAAACAGUACAACCAGAAGCUCAGGGCAUUCUACUUGGACAAGUCAAAUUCACCACCAAACUCAACAUCCAAAGCUGCCUAUGUAGAUAAGCUAAUGAGGCCUCUCAACGCUUUGGAUGAACUUUACCGACUGGUAGCCUCGUUUAUCAGAUCCAAGCGCACAGCUGCCUGUGCAAACACAGCUUGCAGUGCCUCUGGGGUUGGACUGCUGUCAGUUUCCUCGGAGCUGUGCAACAGGCUGGGCGCCUGCCACAUCAUCAUGUGCAGCAGCGGUGUGCAUCGGUAUGUGACCCUCCCGCCUUGCUUGCCUCUUUGUUAGAUCACACUUUAUUUGAUGGUUUUUGUUUACAUUUUGGCUCCACAAAAUUAAAACUGGAAACAUUCGAA
rnacentral:sRNA from 1 species